UACGUAGGGGGCAAGCGUUUGUCCGGAUUUAUUGGGCGUAAAGAGCGUGUAGGCGGUCCGGUAAGUCCGCUGUGAAAGUCGGGGGCUCAACCCUCGAAUGCCGGUGGAUACUGUCGGGCUAGAGUGCGGAAGAGGCGAGUGGAAUUCCUGGUGUAGCGGUGAAAUGCGCAGAUAUCAGGAGGAACACCUAUUGCGAAGGCAGCUCGCUGGGACGUAACUGACGCUGGAGACGCGAAAGCGUGGGGAGCAAACAGG
rnacentral:rRNA from 1 species